rnacentral:lncRNA from 1 species
UUUUUCUUUUCUUUUUCUGCCAUAAUUUAAUUAAGACCUAGAACAUGCAGCUUUAGAUGAUUAGGUAACCCCCCUUAUAACUUGCAUCCAAAUAAGAAGUGAAGAACACUAUACUAUCCAAAUAAUAUAUAAGAGUGGUUGCUUGUGUUGAAGAUUCUAGAAUUGUCCUCCAACCAAACAGACCAGAUUAUCACAUAAACAGCAUGUCUAAGAAUGUCGCCUCAGUCUGUUAACCAACAGUUUUGUGUCAGAAAAACCUCCUCUAGGAUCUUAAGAUACAAACCUCUAAUUCCCAGAGAUUGAAAAAAGAUUAGUUUAAAAAAUUGGUUUUCUGGAGUUGCAUUGCUGCUAAAACUGAAAAAACGAACUUACCAAAAUGAUUUGUUGUGUGGCCUUUGCACCUGUAACAAGUUAGUAGUAUUAGCUAAUUAAGAUUUCAGAUCAAACAAGUGAUAUCUUAUCCUUCCUAGUAAGUUGUGACUUGACAUGCUCCAUAACUUUUAGUGCAUGAAAUUAUCUGUAAAUCAUACGCUACUUGUUUUAAUUCUAUUUGCCUUAGAUUUUGAUUAUUCCAAUAUUCAUGGCGGGCAUCUUUGAGUUUGCAGAGUAAGAGAACCAAGCAUCCAAGACUCGCUUUAGAGUAAGCAAUCAGUUAUGAGCUAUUCUAUCCAUCUGGUAUUUGUUGUUUUAUGUAUCCUAUUUCAAUAAUGUUUUAGCUUCUUAUGGUUUUUUGCUUGUCAAUUUUUGUUUAUGCUCGUUUGUUCAGUGAUGAUGAUGAAGAUAAGGUUGUUUGGAAUGUUGAAUGCCAUUACACUCAGGCUAAUAUUGAAGGUCGCAUCAUUAAUCUUGGAGAUUGUGUCUAUGUAAAGGUAAAUGCACCUAUUUUUUAUGAGAAUUUACUGAAGAUGGAUAUUUCUUUUCUUAUGUGCAACAUUACCAUUUCAUCUUCCUAUCAGGUUAAAUCAUCAUUAUUUUGAUGCUACUCAUACUUUUGCUACCCUAUGAUUAGGCUAUAUUUUUGAGGUCACAAGUCGCAUACCCUUGGUAGAAGCUGUUAUUCUAUGCAUGUUAUGUACGAGCUUCUUGUUAACAAUAUGGUGUCACAUAAUAUGAACUCAAAAUUCCAUUACAUAAUAGCUGUUAUUUUGCUCCAUUGCUUAUUUCAGCUUGUCAACCUCAUUUAAUUGACCAAGCAUUUGCUUGGCAUGUGUAUAUUGUUUGUCUCCCUUAACUCAGAUGUGGGAUGAUAUUUAGAUUAAAUGUUAAUCCUCUAAAUUUUUAAUUAACAAGUUCUAUAUAUUUUAUUUUUUUGUUACCUAAUCAUGCAGCAUUUCUUUAUUUUGCACUUGCCCCUCUGAAAUUGAUUUUUCAGGAUGGUUGCUAGCACAGUUUGGAUUAGCCUAUUUCGUAGUAGAGCUUAGGCACAAGAAUGGAGUAUUGCAUUGCCUACACUUCUUUUACUAAACUAUGAGGGAAAAAAGGUUUUGAGUUUUUUCAGAACCAUUAAUCUAUCUAUUGGAGCAAUUGUAGGGUGAAGGAGCAAAAAAUCAUAUUGGUAGUAUCUUAGAGUUUUUCAAGACAACAGACAGGGAAGAUUAUUUUAGGGUCCAAUGGUUUUACAGAGCUGAGGAUACGGUGAGUACAUAAAUUUUGUUGGAUUGAAUCAUUUAUUUAUUUUUGUAUUGAAUUCUUCGCUCUUCCGUCUCCUCAGGUGAUGAAAGAAGCAGCUGAUUUUCAUGACAAUAAGCGGUUAUUUUAUUCCACAGUGAUGAAUGAUAAUCCAAUAGAUUGCAUUAUUUCUAAAGUCACUGUUGUACAGAUAUCACCUAGGGUAAGGUUCAGUCUUACUUCUAGAUUUUUAUCAACUUCAAUAAUCUUCGGGAAGGCUGCCUUUUGAAGUUUUUGUAGGCUUUGAUGGCAUCUCUUCCUUUUUUGCCCUAAUUAAUUUAUUUUGCAUGCUAAUUUAAUAAAUUGCAACUUGUUUCAGGUACAUUUAAAAUUUCAUUCAACACCAGCGUCUGACUUCUACUUUGACAUGGAAUACUGUGUGGAUUAUUCAACAUUUCGAACUUUGCUGACUGGUAAGAAUUUAAAUUCUACUCCUGGUACCGAGUUGCUGUUUGAGUCUUGCUGCAAUUGCAUGUCAAAUGGAGGAAGGGAAGGAACAGUUUCAUCAUUCAAUGGAAGGCAUGAGAUAUUGGUCAGGAACCAAUGUGCUUGAUAAGCCCCAAACAUCAAAUUUCACAUUUUUCAUGCUUAGUAAAUUUUUAUCCCAACUGUUAGGUUUGUAGGUAAUGAGAGGGAAAGAAAGAACCUUAGGAUACUGAGAAAGAACAGCUAAUAAGAGACAAAUUCAACAAUAUCUUCGCUUCAUUCUAAUUCAAAAAACAUAAAAUUACAUAUUGACGCAUUAGUUGAUUAAAUCACCUCCCUUAAUGCCACCAAUUCUUAUCACAAAUCUGAGUCUUGCGUGUGGAGGACAACAUGGUGGAAAAUAAUUCCUUUGGAUCUUUUAUUCUUUCCUCCAAUACUUGCAUCAGCUGGAAGAUAGUCUAUUGUGGUAAGAGUGUUUUUUCCAGUAUGCAAUUAGGUAUUGUGGGUUACUGGUGCUUAUCUGUUGCCAAUCUUUUCUUCCUAGAUAAAAAGGUGCAUAGGUUGAAGCUAAAAUAGUAUCCUUGAUCAGUAUGAUAUACUGUUUGAAUUACUGUCACCAUCUAUCCACCUCGGAGAAACAAAAAAAACAGAUUCUAAAAGGGAAGAUAACACUUGUAUGUAAGACAAAAUUUGAGCUGGUUGAUGACAGUUUCAUUGCAGUGUCUGAAUGCUAUAAAUAUAAGCCAUUAUUGUGUAUUUUUGUUUGUUUUUGACUCUUUAAUGAUCAGAUAUUAUGCUGGCUGGUGGUGUUUGUAGGGAAGACAACACACUUUUCAAAAACAGCAGGAUUAGAUAGCAUCUGAUCUAACUAUAUCUUUAAGAUAGUCCAUCCAUUAAUGGUGUCUCUUAUCUUUCUCCAACUAAAUGAAUUUCUCAUACGCAUCCUUUUGUACGUUCUAGCAUGGAUACAUUCAUGUCAACAUUUUUAUGUUCAUUCACUCUGCCUCAGCUGAAUGGCAUAAAAGGAUGCAUACAGCCAACCCCAACUAGUUUGGAAUGCUCUUGUUGCCCCAGCUGUCUUUUAAGAAAGGCAUCUGAAUCAGUGCAGCAACUAGGGCUUAGGACUUUCAUAUUAUAGUGCUCUGUUCAGGUAGAAAAAGCAAAAAAAUAAAAUAAAAAAUAAAUUAACCAAUCUUCUUGUGCACUCUAUUAAUCUAUUUUUUGAUAUUUCACAGGCUAAAAGUAGGAAACAUUCAUCUUGUAUUUGUUCCAAUUUCUUUUCAAACAAAUCUUUAUAGUUCUGUUUCAGUAGGUGGUCCUUUGUUUUGUUUUAUGCCGUGAUGCUUCUCCAUUUGGGAACGUUGACUUUAAGUGGUGGUCAUCAGUCUCACUCCUAUUCUUUUAAGCACAAUAUAGUGGAGGGCUUUUUUCAAUUUUCAAGCUGGAUUGGUUUUAACUCAAAGUAGUGUGUAAAAGAGCCUAAUAAAAACCAUUUUUGGAAUCUCACAAGUUUCAGGAUUGAGUGGUACUUUCGCUUUAUUUUUGGCAUCCUGCUGCUUUUGGUUUUCUUGAACAGCCUGGUAAUUACCAUGUGUUUGCAUGACCUUGAAUUCCUCCUUUUGUUCCAUAAAAUAUACAAAACUGACUAUGAAACGAUGAAAGCUUUGAACCAGGCAUGACACUUAUACAUCUGAUGUUCUGUCUCCAGAUUGUUCAUUAAGGGGACAUGAGUUAUCACCACUGCCUUUCUGUGAUUCUCGAUCUGCAACUCCCAGUGAUAUUUCAAUGGAAAACAUGUCCACUUGUGGAAGUUACAAAGCAAAGUUGACACUACUAGAUCUUUUCUCUGGCUGUGGUGGAAUGUCAACUGGAUUAUGCCUGGGUGCCAAAGUUUCUUGUGUCGAUCUUGUGACGGUACUUUCUUGAAAUUUUGUAAUGUUACUUCCUUGAAGUCAAGAAAUUUCAUGUUUAAGCACACACGAUUGUUCUUUAGUUUUGUUCCCCUUUUAUUUUAGAGAUGGGCGCUAGACAGUGAUGAGUCUGCAUGUCAAAGCUUGAAGUUAAAUCAUCCGGAGACACAUGUGAGUGUGCCUGAUCUACCAUUUGAUCACUGCUAGUUCUUCUGUAAAAAAAUGGAAUUGUAUGAGAUAUAUGAUGGUCUUAAAUAUAGGUUAGGAAUGAAGCUGCCGAGGAUUUUCUUGAACUAUUGAAGGAAUGGCAAAAGCUAUGCAAACGUUAUGCGGUCAAUGAUGUAGGAAGGACACAUAAGUCACGGUCAAUGGCAUCAAGUAUGUCAAAACAAAAUAAAAAUUCUUCAAAUGAUGAUGAUAUUGCUUCUGGUGAAUAUGAAGUCGCUAGGCUUGUUGACAUUUGUUAUGGGAAGACCGAUAAGAGAGGAAAGCGUGGGCUGAAAUUUAAGGUACUUCAUGACAAUUGCCAUUCUCUAAAUUUCUGUUAGUUCACUGCAUAAGACAUCAUCUUUCAUACCCCAAACUUUAUAAUUAAUGGGAUGUUAAUUUUUAUAACUGCUUUUCAGGAUCAAUUCGCAUUAAAUAAAUAAACGAUUCCAAAUGGUUGUUAUUAAGGGAAGUCCUUGUCUCGUGCUUUUGAGAGUCAAGCUGAUGAUCUUGAUAUCAUUUUUAGCAUUAAAAAUAUAAACUGAUAAGUUUGCAAAAGAAUAGAACAUAUUGUAUUAGAAGAAUUUUGGACUUUGUGUUGAUAUAUAGCAUUAAUAAGUAAAAUUAGUGUUUAAGUACCUAUCCUUUUUCCUCUCAAAUUUUUAAUUGUGAAGUUUACUUGGGUUUUGACUACUUUCUGCUUAAGUCUACAAGCAUGUUCCCUAAAUAAUUUUUGAGGUCAAGUAUUAGAACAUGUUUAAAAUAAAUGGUAAAAAAGGCGUGAAAUUGCACGUUUAAAUAAAUGAAACUUUGUUUUCUCUUAAACAUCAUGGUUCAUAAUUCAUAUUCAUUUUUUGUUUGAUAUUGUAGUUUGGUGAAGAUGAUUUUCUACUCAUAGCUAUUUCGUUAGGUGCACUGGAAGGGUUAUAGUACCAGUGAAGAUUCAUGGGAGCCAAUUGAAGGCUUAAGGUAUGCUUUUUAGAAUGCAAUAUUUCUGCUUGACUCUGUCCAAUAUUACCUAUUGAUUUGAAAAUUUUCAGUAACUGUGAACAUUCUAUACGGGAUUUUGUAAGAGAGGGGUUCAAAUCCAAGAUCUUGCCACUUCCUGUGAGUUCUCUUUCACUGUUGCUACAAGUUGGGAUGCUGUCUAAACUUUUAUACCAGCAUUUUCCUAAUGAAUCAAUAUGUACCAGGGUGAUGCUGAUGUGAUUUGUGGAGGUCCUCCAUGCCAAGGGAUUAGUGGCUAUAAUCGCUAUAGAAAUGUUGAUUCUCCACUUGCUGAUGAAAGAAAUAUUCAGAUUGUAGUCUUCAUGGACAUAGUGCAGUUCUUAAAACCUAAAUAUGUGCUGAUGGAAAAUGUAGUUGACAUCCUUAGAUUUGACAAGGCUUCGUUUGCUAGAUAUGCUUUAAGCCGAUUGGUGCAUAUGAAAUACCAAGCAAGGCUUGGCACUGUUGCAGCUGGUUGUUAUGGUCUUCCACAAUUUCGGCUGCGUGUUUUCUUGUGGGGAGCUCAUCCCAAGGAGGCAAGUUUCAUAAUUCAUGGUGUCAAUCAUUAUGAUAUUUUAUAGUGAGCUUGACCCAUUCAUUUCCCCAAAACUUGUAUUUAGAAUAAGUCUAUAAGAAGACCAUUUAAAAUAGAAGAUGGCAUGAACAACCAUUCUCACGUGCUGUAAGUAAUCUUCAUUGGUCAAGUCAACAUGAAAUUUCAAUUGCUAAAAGACGUAACAUUCAUCAGGCAUAUAUGACAGUUUGAAUAUCUUGAUCUCUUUGUGAUGUUAAAUGACCAUCUAAUUGUUUUGUUUCUUUCUUUUCCCCUGCAGAAACUGCCUCAAUUUCCACUUCCUUCUCAUGAUGUUAUUGUCAGAUAUUGGCCUCCACCUGAGUUUGAGGUAUCAGUUUUCUUUCACGAAGGUCUGAAAUCACAUUUAUCUGCAGCCUAUAGUUAGUUGAUGAUUUGAUUGGUUAUUGCAGCGGAACACUGUUGCCUAUGAUGAAGAUCAACCUCGUGAUGAUCUAGAAAAAGCCACAGUUCUUCGUGAUGCCAUUUCAGAUCUUCCAGAUGUAGGUUCACUGUAUGCUGUAUUUCCAUUUAUUGAUGGACAACUUUUGUAAUUCUAUUUUACUCUCAUCUUACUUGAUGUUAAAGGUCACAAGCCAUGAAACCCGUGAGGAAAUGGCAUACGACAAGCCUCCAGAAACUGACUUUCAACAAUUCAUAAGGUCAACAAGAAACGGUAAUGUGAUUACUCUUAAAUUGCAAAAUUUGGUAAUAUUAAUAGUCUCAAUUGCUAUACCAGAGGCAUCACAAUAUUAUCUUUCGUAAAUGUAAAUGUGGAUACGGUUGGACUGUGAAAAUCCAACUGUCUAAAUUUGGGUGAUGAAAUAAUUGAAAUUUUAGUAUUACUAUGACAAGCGACUUGCAUAAUUAGAUUUUGAGCUUAUCUUAUCUAGAGUAGAGCCAUCUGUAAAUUAUAUAGUUAUAUAUCAGUAAUAUAGGGAUCCAUCUCAACUCAAUUAACUAAGUGGUAGUUUAAUAAGCUGAAGUUCCUAUAUAUACAAUUUCUUCCAUCUAUGGGAAAUCUUUUGUUUUUUACUGUUUAAGGCUACACCAGUGCCUCUCUACAUUCAAGCUGGAUAUAGGCUAAACCAUCUCAAAUGGUCCUCUUUUAUCUUCAAUUGGUUCUCAUGGUAAUCCAAUUCCUUCUUGUCUUCGUUCUCUUCGAUUUUCCAUCUCAGUUAUGCUUAUUGAACAUGAUGAUUAUGUCCGACAAUUUCUAGUAAGAAGCAUAAUUGGUCAAAUGGUGAAAACUUCCAUCUUAGUGGGUUCUUAGGAUCACAUAGUAAUCUAGUUGUGCAUCUGGAGUUCAACCGUCUUGCUUUGACUCUAUAGCUAACAAGCACCUGCCAAUUUCUAAGAAGCUUUUGCAAAUUCAUUGCUUAUAUUCCUUGGGAUAAUUUGCUCUCAAGCUGCAGAGAUAGUAAUGGUCUAUGAGAAAGUAAACGACUGAAUAUGUUUAUGGUUUCUUUUGACCAUUCUCUUCCUUCUUACUUCCCCUUGAUUUACUUUUUGUUCUUUUAUUCCACAUCUUGUCCCUGUGAGUUCUCGUUCAUUAUGAGUGUGUGUACUAAAUGUUUAACAUUACCAAAAAUAUAAUAAAAUGAGGUAGCUAUGAAAUAAAUUAAACUUUUCAUCUCCAUUUUUUGGGUUAUUAAAUAAAUUAAACUUUUAGAACAUUUUCACAUUAGAGAAGUUAUAAAACUUCAGCAGUAAACCAAUAAAAUAAUGUGGCAAAACAGAAAAACUUGACCAUCUUGGUUCUCUUUACCUUUCAUGCCAAAAGUUCUAUAUGCUAAAUGAAAGAAAAGCAAAAUGCAUGUCAAGAUUCAGAAUUUAACAGUAUAGAUCUAUUCAAAUUGCAGGGAACCUUAUCCUAACAAUGUUUCAUGGGGGCCAAAUUUGAAUUUUUUGGAUUUUUUGAGACCUAUAUUUGAGUUUGGUGGCUGUCUGACUCCUUUGUUGCUUUUUGCAAACAAGCUUGUGCCUUUCAUUGUCUUAACGUGACUGUUUAAUCUCAACCCUAUAGUCUCGUAAAUUGUGAGAGAUAAUGACAAAUACUGGCAAUAAAGUAGUGACAAAUUCUUGUGAUAAAGUUGAUGGGUUUGGAGCUCAAUCAAAAGUAGUCUAUGAACGAUUUUUUUUGUAAAAUUUAAUUAUAUGGUGAUUUUGUUUCUAUUUCCACACUGCAUGAGCACCUGAAAAAUGGACUCUUAGGUGGCUCAACCAUAGAUCUGUACAUCUUCUCUUUGCAUUUAGAUCUACUAUUGCUAUAGAUAGAUAUGAUACUCUCUCCUUUUUGUUUAAAUUGUUGCAUUGCAUAAUAGUUAUAGUAUCAAUUCCUUUGCAUGCAUUUAAGUUAACAUAUUCUCCUUCUUUUCCUAUAUGCUGCUAAAGUUACAAUAUGUUUAUUAAACUUGUUUCUGCUUGAUUUGAACCCUUUUGAGUUUGGACUCUAGGUUGCUUUCCCACUAUUCAACUUUCAAUUAACUCGAGCUCUCUUUUAAUCUACUAGAGUUGUUGCCACAAAAAGUUCAAGUCACAGUGUGUGAUCUGGAAUAUGCUUAAUUUUUUUUAUCCAUCAUCAGAGCAAAAAGAUAAAGAUUCAUAGCAGGUUUUGCUGUUGGUUAAUAAUGAUAAGAUUUAAAACUGUGUUUUCCCCAAUUGUAUUCAUGCAAGUAACUACCAUAUUGUACAUAUAAUUUUAUCACAAUUUUAUGAGUUCUUUCCAAACUGGAGUGUCAGCCAGAUGGAAGAAUGAAAAUCGAUCUCCUAUUUAAGGUUGUCAGCUUUUGGACCUUACAUUUGGUGAAACAUGCAUUUGUAUAUUUUAAAAAUAAGUUAAAACUUUGGGAGAGUUCAUGGAGCUAAUUGCUGACUACAUAAUUGUUUUUUAAUCUCUCUUCUGGCUCUGUAGAGAUGACUGGUUCUGAGCUCAGUGGAACAAGAAUGAUCAAUUUGCUAUAUGACCAUCGUCCUUAUUCAUUAACUGAAGAAGAUUUUGCUCGAGUUUGCCAAAUUCCUAAAAAAAAGGUUGGAUAAAUAUGGAUUCUGUGGAUUGGUAUGCUGAGAUUCAUUCCUUGAUUUUCUUUCUCAUGUAGAAAUUCUUUUAGGGAGCAAAUUUCAGGGACCUACCUGGUGUGGUUGUAGGAGCUGACAAUGUUGCCCGGCGGGAUCCAACGGAAGAGCAAAUGUUGUUGCCAUCCGGAAAGCCCCUGGUUAGUGCUUUAUUGCAUUUUCCUUUGACAGAUCGACUCUUUUUUUCAGUUAAUGAUUGUGAAAUAAAUUGCAGAUAGGAAUGCAUGUUUUAACUUAUUUUCCUGCAUUUCGAAUUAUGCAAUGAAAUGAUCUAUAGUUUUACAAUUAUUGUCUCCUAAACUCUUACUUAUUCUGUUAUAAGAAAAGUUAACUAGAGAUGGUUAAAUAGUUCUGUAGAUUCAUUGUGCUCCAAGAUAUAUACGUGAAUACUUCUAAACAACAAAAUGAAGGGAAUUUGCAGUCAAUUUGGCAGCCGGCCUCAACAAUGGAAGAGAAAGCAUUGAUACUUGAUCAAUCCUUUCUGUGCAGCCAGCUCCAAACACACUUUAAUGGCUUCAAGUUGGGUUCAAGAUCAUGUCUUGUCCCUGCCAAAUUAAAAAAAUAUUUUCCCUCAACCAGAACUAUCACUCACAUUUAAAGACUAACCACCUGAUCAUUACUGUUAAUAACCGUUUGGAAGGAAAUCAACAGUCAUAUUUUGAUCUCUUUUCAGCUAAACAUCCAAAUUGCACUUAGUAAAUACCUGUUUAUUGUUGGCGGGCAAGAAAUAAUAGAAUAAAACAUAUCAAUCCCAUGUUUAUUUCUGAAAUAUACUUUAGCAUACAAAAAAUGAUUUGGACAAGGGGGAAAAGAACAGAUAAGGUAAAUGGGAUUUGAAGUACUAAAAUAUUUCAUAAAGCUAUUGGGAGGUGGUUAAACAAAACGAGGUUGUUGUAAGGAACAGGAACAGACCAAAAGUUAUUGAAAUUUGUUGACUGGGUGAAAGGGACUGCAUUAUGGCCGUUGUAAAUUAGGACUUUGAUGUCAUGCUUAGUGGGUACUGGCACUCAUUUAAGUCGUGUUUUAUUUGCUUGUAGGUACCUGAUUUUGCCUUAAAUUUCGAAGGAGGAAAGUCUAGAAGGUUACAGUUUUUCUCCUGUUUCCUCUCUUAUAAAUUUUUUUCAAACAUUUUAAAGAUCUGAGUAUCUGUUUAGGCCAUAUGCGAGAUUAUGGUGGGAUGAAACAGUGUCGACUGUUGUUACUUUUCCGGAUCUUCACAGCCAGGUCCCUCCUUGCUCUUGUUUAAGCUUAUAAUCAUAUACUUUUUUAUUGUAAUAACUCUUCAUGCAUUUGUAGGCGGUGAUGCAUCCAGAGCAAGAUCGAGUUCUCACCAUACGAGAAUGUGCUAGGCUGCAAGGUUUUCCUGAUUAUUAUAGAUUCUGCGGGACAGUUAAACAAAGGUGAGUAUAUUUCUUCAGAAAAUUUCUAUUUUUUUCCUUUCUCAAAAACAUCUGACAGCGUCUGUGUGCAUACUUUUGAAAAGAAAAGGAAGACAUUUUUUAACCAGUGAACCACCUUGAGACUGACCUAGUGCUCAUAGCAGGUCAUUUGAAAAUUGAUUCAGAAAGAAAGAAACAGAAACCCAAUCAGAACUAGUGAAAGCCUGUCAAAACAAUCUGGUUUGACUGGAUGGGUCCGAGUGGCACCAGUCUAAAAUCUUUGGAUAAGAGUUGUGGAGAAUGAUAAUUGUCACUUGACAUUAGACUAAUUUAGCAUGUGUAUUAGUUAUAUUCCUUUGGUUGUUCCUAAUACAUGUUAACUUAGGUUUUUAGUUAUACCUAUUAUAUGUUUCCAUUGAAGUUAUUAUUAUUAUUAUUUUUUUAAAAUUUCAUUAAGGACUUAAAAACUUAAUAUAUCAACAAUCUAUCAUUACUUUGGCAUAAUUAUAGGCUAAUACAUAUAGUUUAGAUGCUAGCUUAACUCAAAUAAUUUCUAGUUAAACAAGCGGGUUGACCAAUUACCUGCCAGUUGACCCCGUUGCUUGAUCACCCAAUCUGUUUUCAAAACAACAGCUGUUGCAGGUGCUGUUUUUCCCCGGGGACAAAUCAGCACAUCAAAACGAUCCAAAAACAUAAAAAAAAAUUAGCAAAAAAAAAAAAUUGAAUUUUUUGAAAACAUGGGUUGGCCCGCGUUUCCAAACGGGGUCAUUCCGUUUGUUCUUUUGCAUUUGCGGUGUAAAAAACGCAGUUAGGUGUUUGGUAAUACACCAAACUGCGUUUUAUACUGUGGUGCCCACCAAAAAAUUGAGUUUGAAACGCAAUUUUUAUGAAGCAGUUUUUACGUGUUUUUUUUUUGAGUUUUGUAAAAUUCUGUUUGUUUUUGCGUUUUAGCAACUGCUUUUGGAUUUCUCAAAAGGUUUUGAAUAAUAGCGAGGCUGAAAGUUGUGCCCUGUUUAUAUGCUUUAGAACAGUGGUCCAAUCGAUGUUUGCACAGCCCUGCUAGUUUUGGCUAGUGAAUUUUGUUUCCAUAACUGGUUCUUUGAGUGAUGAAAUUGCUGUUUCCUACCUCCUAUAAAGUGUAUACACUGUCCAGUUCUCAAUCUCUUAUGUCUAUGUAUGCGUGGGCGUGCAGUGACGGCAGUAACGAGCAUGGUGUUUAUAUGACCAGCUUCUGAACUUUUUUGCAGGUAUCGUCAAAUUGGAAAUGCAGUUGCAGUUCCUGUAGGUCGUGCCUUGGGAUUCACGUUGGGGAUGGCAUUUCAAAAACUAAGUGGGGAUGAUCCGCUAAUGACAUUACCUCCCAAGUUCUCUCACUCAACUAACCUUCAAUUAGCUAAAUCACUGUUUCAGAAGGCUGAAUAAUAUUUACUCGCACCGCAACCUUUCAGAAGGCUGAAUAAUAUUUUUCCACACCGCAACUCUGUCAUCCAUCUCAUUACACGCGGCAUUAACGACGAGUUUUGCUUGCUGGGCUAUUCCUUUUUCCUCGAUCUUUUCUACCGGGAGAGGCAAGCUCGUGUCAUUUUUUCAUUGUAAUUGGAUAUCUGAUUUUUUGCAUAAAGAAACUCAUUGAAUAUCAAUGAGAAAUUUGUAGUUCGGAUUUAUUGUUUCAAUAAAACGCCUGAUGGCAACUGGAAAAAAAAGGUGUGUUCUUGUCAAUUUGUGAGUAUUUAUGGAGCCCCAAAUUAUAAAGAAUGUUUAUAAGAUAUUCUGUUCAAAGUUGAAGGACACGAUUACUUUUUAUUGAUAUCGGCUCACUUUAUGGCUGCGGAUUAACUGGUUUACCAUCAAAAUUUGAUUUCUUUUUUUACUUCAAAUUCAAUUGAUUUUUUAGAUUGUUUUUUUUAGUGUCUUGGAUCGUUUAUCACACUCCACUCUUGAAUGUACGGUGAAAUUAUUAUUUGUUGAGUUUGGCAAAAAUGUUUUAUUUAUUGAUUUGUUUAUUCAUGUAUGUGCAUGGAGAGUAUUCUUUAGAUCCAAAACAAAAUGUUGUGCAUGUAUUCUUUAGAUCCAAAACAAAAUGUUAUAUAUAUAUAUAUAUAUAUAUAUUUUACCCUUAAUAAAACCUUGAUAAUUUUUUUUUAAUAAGCUAUAUAUAUUACGUUCCAUAUAAAUACGGUGGAUGGUAGAAGUAUGCCUCCAUUCUAGAUAAUUUUUGCAGUCUUUUUUCUUCUAAUAAUUAUUCUUUUAAUGGGCUGCAUACUUUAUUUAAUAGAAAUUGGAUAUAAAAAAAUAAUUAUAUGAGCACGAUGUAAAUAAAGGACUGAGAAUUAGCUCCAAUGGAAACGAAGAUUUGGAAGUUGGAAGGGCUUUUAUUGAGACAUAUUUCCCAUUUUUUAUGUACUUCCAUCGACAUUUCUACUUUUACCAAUACUGCGACAAACCAGAAAGCUAACCCCUAGGAGUCCCAAAAUCAAUUACAUUAAAAAUAAAACAUUAAAAUUCCCAAAAUCAAUGACAUUAUAUUUACCGUGUGUAUAGAUUUAUUGCAUUGUAGAUUACUAAAUUGCAAUAUUUUCUUUGCCCUCCAUUCCAAAAAACAAAUGGUACAAUCGUAUUUUCAAAGGUAUCUAUUUAUCAUUAUACAAUUGAUCGUGGUUCUAAUGGUCCAUCACUUUUUCUUUUUUUUUACGGUUAGAUAACAUUAUUGUCCUUAAAUGAUAUUUUUAUAAUGGCUCUUUCAUUAUAAUUUAUUUUUAAUAGGAGUAAAUCAGUAUUUUAACAAAUAAAAUAAUAAUAAAAAAGUGGUUGGUGCGUGCUAUGCAUGUGUCGGCAAGUGGAUGUUGUCCGCGCUCUUCGGGCGACACGUGUUGUGUCUUACGGUGGCAAAAAAUUCCCAACCGUCAUGUCGUCUGAAGCAUCCAAUGGAGGUGUAGUUGAUGGGGUAACGCGUGUAGUCAAAUUUGCAGUAGUUCAGCGAUGGCAAUGUUAUAUAUUAUUGAUCACAAGUUCACAGGUUUAAUGAGUUUAUCUACUGAUUGGAUAUGUUUUUUUUUGUCCAUUAAUUGUUUUUUUUUUAAAUUUCAUCAUUCAAUAUUGGAUUAGUUGAGAAAUAAAAUGCAUGGUUUAUUUUUAUUUACUUUCUAUAGGGUUAUCAUUGUCUUAAAUAACUGUCUAUUUUUAAAUUGAUGCUCAAUUUUGUGAGUAUAUAUUUUUAUCAUAUAAUUAAAUAAAAAUAGUUUAUAAAAAAAGUUAUUAAACUCAAUAGAGUCCAUGACCCGGGUCACGGGGGACUGAGGUUGACUUAAUUUAUCAUUGUCUCAAUAUUUUUUUUUUAAAAAAGUUACCAUCUUGAAGUUUUUUUAAAGCUAAGCCAUGUUUCUACCAGUCAUCAAGAUUGCAUUUGGACCCAUGAAAUCGAUCGAUUUAAUUCGAGCUAGCUCCCAUGAGGUUUAAUUGAAAAUUUGAGUUAGACAAAGAGCUGUGUCAGGAGGUUUUAAGAUUGAACCAUAUGACAGGUUUAAUAACACUAUCAAAAAGUUUUCACGCUCUUAAUAUCUUUUUUACAUUUAAAAAUUAUAAUUCGAUCCAUGGAAUGACUAUUUCACAACUAAUGACUAGGAUUUCUAUACUAGAAAAUUGAGGUGUGUGCAGAGUUAGAACAUGUUUGGGAACGCGGUGCAAAUCGCGUUCCCAAAAAAUUUAAUUUUUUUUUGCUAAAAUUUAAUAUGGUUUGUACGUUUUGGAUCGUUUUGACGUGCUGAUGUCAAAAAUGAUUUUUUAAAAAUAAAAAAACAUCAUAGGCAUGCAUUUCGGCACAAAAAGUUAUUUGAAAAGCAACCGCUACCACACUGCCAAGCACCCUCAUAUGAGGAUCCAUGUUGGACAAAGCCAUGAUGAUUUUGAAUUUUAAAAAAUCCAUUCAGAAAAAGAUUAAAAGCAAAAUAAAUAGAAAUCAUAAAAAUAAGGAUCAAAUUUGAUUAAACAAAACAUAAAAAUUAAAUUCUAAGGGAUGAAAUUGAAAAACAAAUAAAUCAAAUUCGAUAUAAUUAAAAGAUUGAGGACCAUUUUGCAAGGCUAACACACAUUUUGAGGUGGAGGAGAGAGAAAAGAUGGGGAAGGAGAAAAAUUAUCGUCGGAGCUCCUCCAUGCUAUGGAUGCAGACAUGUGCCACCCCACCAUGUAGAGGGUGACGUGUUGCUUCAGACGCUGCCCUAUAAGUCUACCAGUGGCCACCAGGAGGUGCCGCACGGGCUGCUUAAAAGGCGCAGAUGCCUUCCUCUUGCCAGCUACUUGUUCUUUGAAUCAUAGAAAGAUCAGAAAACCCUUGACCUCACAGGAUAAUUGUAAGAAAACCAAGGUUAAAAAACUGGAAGUACCCGUUGACAUUAGGCAAAAAAAAAAAAUGACCCCAUAGGCUAUGCAGUAAUUACACUGUAAAAAAAAUAUGAAAAUCUAAAAACGUCUCUCGAACAUUAGUUGUUCCAUCGUUACCCGGUUAACUUGACAAGUUUAAAGAUAAUUCAGAUAACCAAUAAAAACAUAAUUUGACUAAAAAAUCUCAAGAUGACGUCUUUUUUUUUUAAUACUAGGAUAACAACUUAUUGGAUCGAUAUAGAUUAACCAGUCAAAGUCGCUACCCUGAUCAUGAGAUUUUGAUAACCCCAUGAAAAAUAAAUCGAAAUGAAUUAUGAAACUUAAUUUCCAAUCAAUCCAUUAUUGAAGAAUGAAAUUGAAAAAAAAUCAAUUAAAAAUAGGAUAAAAAUAUAAUCCAAGUUAAUCUGGGUUAGCAUGACAAACUCGCGAUCUAGGUCAUGAAACUGGAAGAAUUUCAUAGAAAGCAAACCGAAAAAAAUUAAUGAAACUUAGUUCACAAGAAACCAAAAGUUAAACGAUGAAAUUAAAAAAUGAAUCAAUAAAAAAAUUUAAAAAACCUGAGUUAACCUGUCAAACCCGGGACUUGGUUCAUGAGAUCAAAAUACACUUAUAAAAAGCAAAUAGAAAUAAAAUAUGAAGUUGAAUCUCUAAUAAAUUUAAUAUUAAAAAAAUAAAAUAAAAGCAUUGUUCUUAUGAAUACGAGUAUAUUCUUUAUUGAAUGAUUUCAGUUUAGUAUACAUUUCUAGUUCAUAUAUAUAUAUAUAUAUAUAUAUAUAUAUAUAUAUAUAUAUAUAAAAUCAAUUUUAUGUAUAUUAUUAUCUAUAUUAUAUAAACGAUCUCAAUGUGCAUCAAAGGAAAAAAAAAGGAAAAUAAAAGAAAAUAAAAACUCGUAAACCCAUGUAGUAGAGUACAUGAAGAAUAAUUCAUUAUUUUUAAAAUCCUUUUAUUUUAUAAAUAUUUAAGAGGGCUUGCUUUAUAGUUUUUAGGGACACAAUUGAAUAAUCCAUACAUCUAUAGUAAUCAAAAUAAACUUUGAGAGGCCAUGCCCCCCUCUUAUCCUGAAGCUUAAAGCCACCCAGCUCUCACCGUCGGCACUGGCUGAUCCUUGAGAUGGACCACCGCCCACAUGUCAAACACCGUCGUUUCAAUCAGCAUUAUAUGGCUCCAAUUUUGUCCCCUCCUACACUUCCCACGGGGCCCCCCCACGUGACUCCACUAAUAUUCCUUCCAUCUUCUCCGCCGGCGAAUAUUCCACGCUGGCUGGUACGUGGCAUCUAAUCUUUUACUUCUCAUGGUCUCAGUGACCACCUCACCGUCGAUCAUCUUGACGUUUCCUCAAGAUGCAUCUGACAGUUAUUAUGGGAUGUUGAUGUACAAAUGAGCAUGGCGACACAAAGAUCUGUUCCAAUUGUAAAUCUCUUCAAUCAUGUAGCUUCAGAUUCCUCGCCGAGAUUUCCUCUGCAUGUCCAUACACGUAUUAUAAAUACUAUUUUUUUUCCCAUAUAAAUACAUUCCUCUUCUAUUUUGUUUUUUUUUUAUAAAUAAAAUGCCCUGUUAAAAAAAAAACUUUGCAAAUAAUAAAACUGUUACUUAAAAGUGUUUAGUUUUUAUAUAUAUAUAUAUUCCCUGCCUGAAUAAAAACAAGAAUUCUAUGUUUUUUUUCUAUAUUGCUAUGUACACUUGUUGAAUUUUGGUCACUUGCUCUUGCAAGGAAUUGCUUUACUGCAGGAACAUUCAAGUCCUCUUGGCCCUCUUUAUGCUUUCUUCAUAGCCAUCUCUUCCCUCUUCGCUUUUGGAUCUUCUUAUGUUCUGGCAGGGGAGAAUUUUAGGAAGAGCAAAAGCAAAAAACCUGCUUGAGGACUUGUUUCUCCAGUCAGUGAUUGUUUCAUGAAGUACAGAAGCUAGCUUUAGUUGGAAACUUUGGGUGUUGUAUUAUAUAUAAAACAUGGAGAAAACAACAUUUGGUGGUGGAGGAGGGAGUUAUCCAUACGAGAACGGGGUGGUGAUGAUGACAAGAGACCCAAGGCCAAGACUUAGAUGGACUGCUGAUCUUCAUGAUCGUUUUGUUGAUGCUGUCACCAAACUUGGUGGCCCUGAUAGUAAGUUCACUCAAAUUAUUCUUCUUUUCUCUUGUUUGAACUUCAUUCAAUAACUAGCUAGAGAGAUUGAUAGCUUGCUUGAUUAAGUUGCCCAUAUUGAUUGAAAUAGCCAUUAGUACGCUUAGCUCAUUAGGAUUCUUCCAGGAAAUAUGAUUACAGCUACUGCGAGUCUUCUCCUUCGUUCUGACUAGAUUAUAACAGAAAUCAUAAACCCCCAUAAAAUAAUUUCAGCACUACAUCAGAAACAUCAGCCCCAGUAAUAAUAAACUGCUGUAAAUGCUGCUGUUGGCAUUUUGAAACAUGAAAAUGACAGUACGUAUAAUUCAUAUAUCUGGUCUAUUACUAUCCGAUUGUUCACAAUAAUUGUAUGAACUUAAUCAACCUGAGUCUACACUUCAAUGUUCUCUGUGUAAUCUUAUAGUGAAUCUAAUUAUAUAUAGAAUGGAUUUAUUUUCAGAGGCAACUCCAAAGUCAGUGUUGAGGUUAAUGGGAUUGAAGGGUUUGACAUUGUACCAUUUAAAGAGUCAUUUACAGGUACAGUUUCAAGUUUUAACACAACUAUUGCUGCUCUCAUCAGUGUUACUUGUUCUAUUUCCUUUUUCUUUGCCCAUUAAAUUGUGAUUGUGUAAUUAUGCUGGCUUAUUUAUCUGCAGAAAUACAGACUUGGGCAGCAGGCUCGAAGACAGAACAAUACAGAACAAAGCAAAGAGAGCAGAGGUUAGUUCAUCACUGCUUUUCUUUCAUUGUUCCAUUUUUCACCACAAAUAACUCAUUUUAGUUUAAAUGUUGGCAGUAGAUCCAAUUUUAUCUCAUAAAGUGUUUACAAGAAUUUGUACAAUCGAGUAGUUCUUUGAACAAAUAUUCUGAUGACUUUCCGUGCACUCAACUUCUAGGAGCUUCAUAUGUAAACUUCAGUAAGGGCUCCUCAGGGACAAGCACCAGUUCACCAAGAAUCGAUGAAGAACAAGGGUAUACGUUGCCAUCUUUCUUCUGUAUUUUUAUGUAGCUUGUUUCUAUAAAAAAAAAUAACUUGAAUUUUUCUGAAUGACUCAAGCCCUCAAUGGUGUGUGCUGUGUGCAACCAUUUUUUAGCUACAUCCACGAAAACUUGUUUCCUUGAACAUAGCUUAUAUCCAUUAAAGCUUUAAGCUUUUGUUUUUCCUUUUACCCCAGCAUUUCCUUGAUGGAGUGUGUAUGCAGUAGUGAUGGUUUGAGAAGGAUCUAUCGAAUCACGUGAUUUUUUGUUGAUUACUAUUUUCUUUUAUCUUUUUUCCCGUGAGAUGAAAAGAAAAAUCUGCCUUGACUUUAAAAUUAGCUUAACCUUAAGAGUAAUCUCAUCUGGAAUUCUCCUUCAAACUAUAUUUGCAAACUUCUAUGCUGGUACUAAUUAAUGUAGUUCAAUACAGAGAAAUCUCAGUUGCAGAGGCAUUAAAUUGUCAGAUUGAAGUACAGAAAACAUUACAAGAAAAGCUUGAGGUAUGGCUUUCUCAUAGAGUUCUGGUAGUUGCUCCUAGAAAAUCAACAAUAUCACUUCACUCGGCUAGGUCAUUCUCGAAUUUCUUAUUUGAUAUAUCGAGUUGGUCUUUUCUCCAACAGGUACAGAAGAAGCUGCAGAUGAGAAUAGAAGCUCAAGGGAAGUACUUGCAGGCCAUACUGGAGAAAGCUCAGAAGAGCCUCUCACAAAACUUGAAUGACGACAGCAAUGGAAAAUUAAAAGCCACAAGAGCUCAUUUAACAGGCUUCAAUUCCGCUGUUUAUAGUCUCAUGGAGAACUUGAAUGCAGAAGAUAGGAAACCAAGCAUCACUGAUUUGAAAGGUAUCAAUAUGAAGGAAAAUGGUCCGGCUAUGCAUAUUCAGAGAGAGGGACAGACACAGGAAACCAAAGAUGUUAAGCACCACCUUCAAGGGGAUUCCAUACAUUUUGACUUAAACACCAAAGGUAACUAUGAUUUUGUCUCUGCAAAUGGAUCUGAAUUGGAACUCAAAAUGCUUUCAUAUAGGAGAUAAAUUAGUGGUAAUAUUUACCAAUUACUUCUAUAACAAACAACUGUAACUGCUUAUAGUGUGACCCUCAAAAGCUGCUUAUAAAUUUUGUAGAAAUUAGAUUUUGGAGUUCUUUUUACUAUCUUUUGAUUCAUAGGGAGGCCUAUCUAUUCUGGUCACUGCACAACCAGAGUACUUUCCUGGAGUUGUCUGUGUUUGUUUUUUAGGUAAUUCUCAUUAUAGGAACAUUUUAAACUAUUCCAAAUCUACAGUAACUUGUGUUCAAGAACCAUCCCUCCACACAUGCUCAUAGAAUGAAGUGCUCUUUGUUGCAAGAAAUUCAUAUUUUUAUUCUCCCAUCAAGGAAAAGAAUGUUCAAGUACUGUACCAAUCGUUCUCAUAAACUUCGUAGAAUGGAUUGAUUGGCUUAACAUUCUUGUCCUUAAAACAUUCCACGCAAUUUGUUCUUUCAUCUUGUUGAUGAUACAGAAAGUUGAUAGAAGUGUAAGAAAUAUUUAGGAUGGAAAUAAAUAUGGAGUUGGUUUAAAGAUGUGAAAUUAAACACUGUUUUUAAAGUGUUUAUUUAUCUCAUACAGAGAUAAUAUCUUCAGGAUACAACUAAGUCCUUUAAAACUCUAAAAAAAUAAAAAAACAAGACAAAAAAUAAAUAUAUAUUUUUAUUGUGUUUUAUAUAUAUAUAUAUAUAUAUAUCAAACAGUAUGACUGUUCAUAAAACAAUUAUAUUUUAAAUUAAAUUGAAUAGCUGCUAUUUAGUUUUAUCUCAACAGUUAUAAAUGUUAAAAUUAAUUAAAAUUAAUUACGAAAUUAAUUCAAAGAUAAAUUAAUCUCACUGAAAUAUUUCAAAUGUCAUCUUUUAAUAUUAUAAAUAUUCAUAUAAUAGUAUUAGAAAACCAAAUAGAAGAGUUCGUAUACAAUAGCUUAAUUUAUUUCACAAUAAAAAUCAAUACUUAUAAACAUCAAAAGAGAAUGUUUUUUUUUUUAAUAUAUGAUAGAGAUCCUUUCUUUCUUUAUUCAUUCACGAUCUACACCAACAACAGAAGCUUCUUAGAUAUUCAUUAUACUGCUUUUGAUAGAUACAUAGAACGUGGUUUUCUUCAAAGGAAGAUUUUCAGAUAUUCAUCCAUGCGAGUGUAUUUCACUUCUGGAUAAAGGUCCGAAGCUUCUUCUCCUAUUUCGAAGUUUGUCAAACAGCCUUCAUAGAAAAU